rnacentral:tRNA from 1 species
GGGGAUUUAGCUCAGUGGCUUAAGUGCCUGCCUGGCAAGCAUGAGGUUGUAAAUUCAAUCCCCA